GUACAGAGGCACCCAGAAGCAGCAGGGAACAGCAAGAAAAACAAGAGGAGACAAAGCAGGAAGGCUGCACACCAUGACCUGGGGACUCUCAUGGCAGCACGCAUGCUGGGAAGGUGAGCUCUUCCUCCUCCCAGUCCUGAAGUUCUUCAAAGCAGAAAGCAUCACGAAGCCAAAACCAUACAGAUGUGGAAGAUUAUUUAAAGAUCCUCCUGAUGUCUUCUACUACAAAACUGCUGUAAGUUAGCUAGCUCAUGAGUAUUUUCCUCUGGCUCCUUAGUCUCCAAAAGGCUUCAAGAACAUGCCCUCCUGUCUUGCAAAGAAGUAGACUUGUUCCCUACAAGAAUAUAUUUUCUAGAUUCUGAAUGAAUCUCACAUCUACUGCUCCUCUUUAUGGAGGUUAUUUCUUUGUGAUGGAGAUCUGGGGCAUAGACAAAAGUAAGUGCUAGAAACAUUAAAAAUACAAGUAAUUCUCAAAGAUGGUAAAGGAGGUCUCAUCUUUACAAAAAUCUUCCCAGAUUUAUGUUUAAAAUAAGUGUUUACAAUAUGUGCCCUAUUCUAUCAAUUCAGAACCUAUUAAAAUGAGAAAUCACAUAGCAUAAGACUCACUCAUCUUUACCAUACGUUUGACCUUACUCUACCAAAGGCUAGAUUUCUCUUGGGGCACAUCUAAUACCUUGUCUGAAUACUUGCUCUUCUUGUACUACCCAAACUACAGCCAAGCCAGUUUUCGCAUCCUCUUUUGUUGAUGCUUAUCUAAAUAUAGUGAAAGUAAUGAUAUCAAACUUGUUUAUUUAAAGUUGUGUAAAUGUCUUUGAUUCAUAAUAUCCUUGAUAAAUCUGUGGUGUUCACGGGGCAGUUUCAGAGGUCAAUGGAAACUACCGUGCUAACUCAGCUGUUAAGGGUGGCAGCAGGAGGUGGAGUCUGCUUGUUGUGUUCCUCUGUUCCCAGAGGGAAGUAGCAUGUUCUUAAUGCUGGUUUUUCCUGGGCAACUCAAUCCAAGAGUUUGGAGAAUUCGUGUAGAGGUUUAGCAAGAUUUCACUCUCCGAUAGGGGCAUGUAGUAGCAUCCUCCACCUAGCAUGCAGGUUUCCGUGGGACUGCACAGUGUGGUCAGGGGACACGAGUGCAUCAAUGGCAUGCAAAUGAGCUGUUGCAGCUGCCAGUACUGGAUGUGACAUAUAUUGUAAAAAAACGCUUCCUGAUAUUAAAGGUUGCAUUAAAUCAAGUACCAAAACACUGUCCUGUUUGUGAAGAACAGAUGCAGUAUUUUAUUAGAUAUGAGACAAAUAAACUAAUACCAUACCAGAAGCUUAAGAAUAAA
rnacentral:lncRNA from 1 species